rnacentral:lncRNA from 10 species
UUGGAUUCCUUUGUCCUGCACGUGUUCUUUCCUUCUGAGAAGGGUCCGUAGGCUUUUCAAGGCUGCCGUGAGGUCCGGUGGGUGAAGAUGAUGAGGGAGCCCUGUCCCGGGGACUGUGGAGCACAGAACUGCCAGGAACCAGGGCCCCUGGAUGACUGAGUGGGGCCAUCCUGCCAGGGGGAGCGCUCACCUUGGGAGGAGGAGCUGGUGGAGAAUGACACUCUGUGGUUUGUAAU